ACCUCUGUAGCUCAGUUGGUUAGAGCGCUGCUCCGGAAUCGCAGGGCCGUAGGUUCGAUUCCUACCAGAGGAC
rnacentral:tRNA from 1 species